GACGAACGCUGGCGGCGUGCCUAACACAUGCAAGUCGAGCGGAGCAGUAGCAAUACUGCUUAGCGGCGGACGGGUGAGUAACGCGUGGGCAACCUGCCUUUCACAGGGGGAUAACACAGGGAAACUUGUGCUAACCCGCCCCACCACACUCAUCGGACACUCUGUUAGGAUCAAAGGAGUAAGCCGGUGAAAGAUGGGCCCGCGUUCGAUUAGAUAGUUGGUGGGGUAACGGAGCACCAAGGCGACGAUCGGUAGCCGAACUGAGAGGUUGAUCGGCCACAUUGUGACUGAGACACGGCCCAGACUCCUACGGGAGGCAGCAGUGGGGAAUAUUGCACAAUGGGGGAAACCCUGAUGCAGCAACGCCGCGUGAAGGAUGAAGGUUUUCGGAUUGUAAACUUCUUUAGUCGGGGACGAAGAAAUGACGGUACCCGAAGAAUAAGCCACGGCUAACUACGUGCCAGCAGCCGCCGUAAGAC
rnacentral:rRNA from 1 species